rnacentral:lncRNA from 1 species
ACUGCAAGUGUUUUCAGCCACCAUUGUUAUUUUAAUCUAGCAAAAGAUGAUCCUCAAUGAUAGGAUCAGGGUUAUUACUUUCCUGAAAUUUAUAAAUAUUUCGUUUCAUUGUUCAUGGUCUAUACUUCAGUGAAUAUCUACUGGUUCUUUUCUUCUUUUAAAACUAUACAGGACAUUUAGACACAAGAAUAAGGAUUUCAUAAUGCACAAAAACUUUCUCUCAUAAGAAAACCACUGGAGCUCGUGAAUUUUGCUGUGCAAAUGGAUAAAUACUGACAGAAUACAUGUGGCUUGCAUCAGGUACAUCAUUAGACACCCCACCCAUGGAUCCAUGGCACUAAAAAACUUGCAGAAUUUCGAAGACCCUGGGACAAGCAUGUCAGAAGAAGGGCAUGAGUUGAUAGAAGCAUUGUGGAAAAACCCAACCAUGCAAUCCCAGGAAGUACCAGUGGCAGUCAUUAAUUUAUCACCUACAAAAUCAGGAAACCAGAUGGGAAAGCAUUGUUCAGAAGAAGGAAUACAAUGCACUGAAUCUGUGUCGCAGUUUCUGGCAUUUUGGUGGUUUCAUAAAGGAUGUAGGAGGAGGAAGUCUGGGAACAGCUGUCCAGAAAAAUGGAUUUGA